AGUUAUGUAAAAGACCCAGGAGUGCAGCUCGGAGGACUGAGGAGAUUAAAGUGAAGCUUUGAAGCUUUGAAGGAUGCAAACAACAUUUUUCGUGGAAUUCCAAGGUAUUUUUUUGCCCAAUCAGAAGACUAGUUCACUUGCCGUGUGAAGGCAACAGUGGAAUCUUCCCCCUGCCCAAGGAGCUUCUGCUCAAUAUAAGUUUUCAUAACGGGAGUGAUUUAAGACUUCACAACUUAUGUGACACGGAAGAAACAACUUUUGCCUAAAAUACAUAAGGGCCAAAUAUAACAAAAUAUUUGUCUUUUCCAUAAAAAUCUUUAAUAUGAUCGUCAUAUUGUAGUUUCUUUAAAGAAUGCUUGUAUUCCUUGGACCUACUAGGGUGAAUUAAAUGAAAAAAAUUUAAAACACUUAAUUAAGCCUGUCCUCUGGGUAUAAAUUGACCUUUACAUGUUUACCAGAGACACCAAUUUUUUAAAUAGGUGUUAAUGACUAGCCGCUGAUUUUGGUGAAACUGCCUAAACGUUUCUUAAGAUUGAGUCAUACCUGGAGUUCCCGUGGCGCAGUGGUUAACGAAUCCGACUAGGAACCAUGAGGUUGCGGGUUCGGUCCCUGCCCUUGCUUAGUGGGUUAACGAUCCGGCGUUGCCAUGAGCUGUGGUGUAGGUUGCAGACGCUGCUCGGAUCCCGCGUUGCUGUGGCUCUGGCGUAGGCCGGUGGCUACAGCUCCGAUUCGACCCCUAGCCUGGGAACCCCCAUAUGCCGCAGGAGCGGCCCAAGAAAUAGCCAAAAAAAAAAAGAUUGAGUCAUACCUCGGCAGUAUGUAAGAAGAUGUGGUGCUGGGAUUUAGGAAGGCGCCUUGGCAAGGGUGGGGGGAGGUUGAACUUUGGUGACGUAUACCUAUCCUACAAGGCUGUUGUGAGAAUUACACACGAUAAUGUGGAUAAAAUGCCUGGAACAGAGUAAGUACUUAAUAAAUGUUAGUUCUUCAUCCUUUCAUGUUACUGAUGAUGGCCAAACACACAGUUCUUCCAGAACUUUUAUAUUAGGUCAUAUAAAUAUACAUUUUUAAGCAUUUGGCGAUCUAUCCUGAUUUUAGCAGUGUUAUUUUAUAUUGAUACUUAAGAAAAGCCCCAAUAACAUAUGUUGAAAGUGUAUAGUUUCUCAUUAAGUUAUAGGUUGAUGAUAAUUCAAAAAAUAAUGCAAAGGGUUUUGAAUUUCCUAGUGAAAUGAGACAAGGUUAAACGGUGUUCGAGAGUAGAAUAAUUACAUCAGAAUUCAACUUGCCCCAGUUUUAUUUGUGAAAUUUAAUUUAUCCCAUAAAGAUACUAAAUUGAUAAAGUAUUCUCGUAUUAGUAGAGUCCACUAAGAACAAAGUGGAGGCAUGGAGUCUGGACAUUAGAAAUGAAGGGUGUGCAGGCUGGUACAGCUUGUAGGAGUCAUGGAACUUGGAAGACAAGUUGAAAAGGACCCUGGAAACAUUUGGCUGUAGGCUGAGAAAUGCCUUUGAGAGAGUUAAAGCCGUAAUAAAUAUACCCAAGAUGUUUAAAGAAGAACCUUGUAAAAAGAAAGCAGCCACACUAGACUCUCAGCUGCUGUUCUUUCUGCCAUCCAGUUUAAGCCUCUGCAUGGUUUACAAGGUCUCCCUGUAGACAGUGGAGCAAAUAAUGUAACAGUGAGAGCUCCAGAGCAACUGUCAGGAUGAUUGUCACAGGUAAAGCAUUAAUAAGUAAGCAUAUACCUCCCCAAAGGAGAAAGAGGCUGGGUAGUGGCAGUGAGAGUUGGGGGGGGGUUGGUGUUGAUAAUUGAGACCCAGAUGUCAUAUUUUAAAAUGUCCUACUUACCUUUUAAAGUUAUUAACAUGCAUAUAAUAUAGGAAAACUAACAUUUUGGGAAAUUUGGCAUCAAUGAUGAGACUGUAUUAAGACUUUGUAUGCAAGUUAUUGUGCAAAAUUUAGUUGUAACUGCAUGGUCCGUGCUCUCCAAGAGCUUACUGUUCAGAACAAUUGGUGGGUUUGGAGAUUUAGUUAAAUUGCUUACCUGUGAUAUUGUUUUCCAUUACUUUUUAUUCAGUAAAUAUAUGUUGGAGACUUGUUAUGUGCCAGGCAUUUUCUUGCCACCAGAGGGAUACAGUGUUGAACAAAACAAAACAAAACCUUCCCUUAAGCUUAAAUUUUAUAGGAGGAAGAGAAAAAAAGACAAAUGACUUUUACUCUCAGCGAGAAGGGAAACAGUGGGUUUUGAGCAGAGGAGCGGCAUGAUUUGAUUUUGUUUUAUCAGUAUGACUCUGGCCUUCAGUUUUGAAAAUAGUGUGAGGUGAGGCAAGGAAGAAUCAGCUGGGAGGCUAUUGCCCUAAAAUCCACACGGUGAUGAUGGAGGCUCAGAUGGCAGGAGUGGUGGUGGAAGUAGGCAGAAUUAUGAUGUUUUUAAGAUAGAGCCAACUGGAUUUGCUGAUGGAUUAGCUAUGGGGUAUGAAGGAAAAAGAACAGUCAGAGAUGACUUGGAGAGUUAAAUCAUCAUUUAUGAAUACGGGGAAUCCUAUAGGAACAUCAGUCUUUUUUUUUUUAAGUUUUAUUGUAGUUGAUUUACAAUGUUGUGAUAAUUUCUGCUGUAUAACAGAGCGAUUUAGCUCUACAUGUACACAUUCAUUCUUUCCCAGAUUCUUUACCCAUACAGAUCAUCACAGAACAUUGGGCAGAGUUCCCUGUGCUACAUAGCAGGUCCCCACUGGAGGAGCAUCAGUCUUAGUGGGGAAGGUCAGGAGGUUGGCAUGGGGUGAUGUUGAGUGUGAAACAUCUAUUAAACAUCCAGGGGGAGAUGUAAAUCUGAAAAUAUGACCCUUGAGUUCAGAGAUGAGGUUUAGUCUCUUGUAGGUGGUUUAUGAAAUGAUGAGACCCAUUGAAAAAAAGUCUGAGGAGUAUCCACUGUGGUUCAGUGGUAACGAACCUGACUAGUAACCAUGAGGACAUGGGUUCGAUUCCUGACCUUACUCAGUGGGUUAAGGAUCCAGAGUUGCUGUAGCUGUGGUGUAGGCCAGCAGCUGCAGCUCUGGUUUGACCUCUAGCCUGGGAACUUCCAUAUGCUGCAGGUGCAGCCCUAAAAAAAAAAAAAA
rnacentral:lncRNA from 1 species